AACGAACGCUGGCGGCAGGCCUAACACAUGCAAGUCGAACGCCCUGGCAACAGGGAGUGGCAGACGGGUGAGUAACGCGUGGGAACGUGCCCUUCGGUUCGGAAUAACUCAGGGAAACUUGAGCUAAUACCGGAUACGUGCGAGAGCAGAAAGAUUUAUCGCCGAAGGAUCGGCCCGCGUCCGAUUAGCUAGUUGGUGAGGUAACGGCUCACCAAGGCGACGAUCGGUAGCUGGUCUGAGAGGAUGAUCAGCCACACUGGGACUGAGACACGGCCCAGACUCCUAGGGGAGGCAGCAGUGGGGAAUAUUGGACAAUGGGAUCAAGCCUGAUCCAGCCGUGCCGCGUGGGUGAUGAAGGCCCUAGGGUUGUAAAGCUCUUUCGCCAGGGACGAUAAUGACGGUACCUGGAUAAGAAGCCCCGGCUAACUUCGUGCCAGCCGCCGCUGUAA
rnacentral:rRNA from 1 species